GAUGAACGCUGGCGGCGUGCCUAAUACAUGCAAGUCGAGCGAACAGACGAGGAGCUUGCUCCUCUGACGUUAGCGGCGGACGGGUGAGUAACACGUGGAUAACCUACCUAUAAGACUGGGAUAACUUCGGGAAACCGGAGCUAAUACCGGAUAACAUGUUGAACCGCAUGGUUCAACAGUGAAAGACGGUCUUGCUGUCACUUAUAGAUGGAUCCGCGCCGCAUUAGCUAGUUGGUAAGGUAACGGCUUACCAAGGCAACGAUGCGUAGCCGACCUGAGAGGGUGAUCGGCCACACUGGAACGGAGACACGGUCCAGACUCCUACGGGAGGCAGCAGUAGGGAAUCUUCCGCAAUGGGCGAAAGCCUGACGGAGCAACGCCGCGUGAGUGAAGAAGGUCUUCGGAUCGGAAAACUCUGUUAUUAGGGAAGAACAAAUGUGUAAGUAACUAUGCACGUCUUGACGGUACCUAAUCAGAAAGCCACGGCUAACUACGUG
rnacentral:rRNA from 1 species